GAUGAAGAACGUAGUGAAAUGCGAUAAGUAAUGUGAAUUGCAGAACUCAGUGAAUCAUCGAAUCUUUGAACGCACAUUGCGCCCCCUGGUAUUCCGGGGGGCAUGCCUGUCCGAGCGUCAUUGCUGCCCUCAAGCACGGCUUGUGUGUUGGGCCUCCGUCCUCCUCCCGGGGGACGGGCCCGAAAGGCAGCGGCGGCACCGCGUCCGGUCCUCGAGCGUAUGGGGCUUCGUCACCCGCUCUUGUAGGCCCGGCCGGCGCUUGCCGACACAUCAAUCUUUUUUCAGGUUGACCUCGGAUCAGGUAGGGAUACCCGCUGAACUUAAGCAUAUCAAUAAGCGGAGGA
rnacentral:misc_RNA from 1 species